rnacentral:rRNA from 1 species
GCAGCCGCGGUAAUACGUAGGUGGCAAGCGUUGUCCGGAAUUAUUGGGCGUAAAGCGCGCGCAGGCGGUCCUUUAAGUCUGAUGUGAAAGCCCACGGCUCAACCGUGGAGGGUCAUUGGAAACUGGGGGACUUGAGUGCAGAAGAGGAAAGUGGAAUUCCAAGUGUAGCGGUGAAAUGCGUAGAGAUUUGGAGGAACACCAGUGGCGAAGGCGACUUUCUGGUCUGUAACUGACGCUGAGGCGCGAAAGCGUGGGGAGCAAACAGGAUUAGAUACCCC